UUUCUUGUUGAUCUGUCUUCUGUUAUAGGAAUCUCGCCCAAGAGCCUUGUAAUGAUGAGACAUAUUCUUUCUUCCCCAGCUGAGAUGCCAAAAAAGAGAAACUUGCUAUUUUGCCCAGGCUGGUCACAAACUUCUGCCCUCAAGUGAUCCUCCUGGGUCAGCCUCCUAAAGGAGGCCUUAAUUUUAAUAACAUCCUUGCCUCAUUAAGUCACUGAUUGGGAGCAGCUCAUGAGAAUUGUAGCCUUCAUAUAUACAAACACAGCACAGCUAUUGGGAGUCUUGGCCAAUUACACUUCCUAUGGUUGGAGGUCUGGGAGACAUAUCCUCAUUGCCACCUGCUAUACCUCUCCUUCUCUGCAGAGUGUGAAAGUAUGGACUCCUAGUGGGGAAAGAGUUCAGUCCAAAUACAUCUCUUUAUUCGUAUACCCCACAAAGCCCUAUCUCUAUCUCUUACUCCUCCUGUCUCUAUCUUUCACUCUGUAUAUUCUUAAAGUGCAUAAAGUGAUUCAAGGGUCAUAGAACAGUUUUACCC
rnacentral:lncRNA from 1 species